UAGCUAAAAACAUCCAAACAACCUAGGUAGCACAAGUGGGGCACUUCCCACUUUUCCCACUGAGACUGCAGAGCCGCAACAUGUCCUCAUCCAAGCCCUCUGGCCCUCACUGGAGCUGAGCUCCUGCACGAGGCUGAGGGGGCCCUCAUAAGAACAACACAGGCCUCAGUGGUCAGGUGAUGGUGGGAGAUCGUUGGAGCCCAGACUGACCUGAGCUGUUUGCAGGAGGAGGGUGUCUUUCACAAAAUGGCAGACAGCAGUAGCACAAUGCAGGAGAUUGGAAAAGUGGAGGACUGGAUUGCGGGUGAGAUCUACUCCAUGGCACAAAUAUUGAAGACUCCUGGACUUGAUUCUCUGUUGAGAGCUGCAUGAGAUUCCUGUUCACUUCACACCACUUGCAUAAGCAUGCACCGUAGAAGUUGGGAAAGAAUGUCAAUGGCACUGAAACUGCUUACAAGUGGUUGGAAGCUUUGUGCAUCAAGCUGGGAUGGAAAUGCUCAUGAUAUUCUCCUUUCAAGAGAUUUCCCCUGCUCACGCCUCCAAGGAAGACAGGAUGUAGCCAUUUCCCCUGGGGUGCCUGUGAGCCCAUCACCGCAGCCUUGGCAAGUGCCUGACAGCCAGAAAAAUUAUACUGCCACGGGAAAAAAAAAAAAAAAAAAAAAAAAAAAAGCGUUCCGUUUUCAUUAUCCAAGCAGAAUUAAAUGAAAAAAAAGCAAACAAACUGCAUAAAUGAUGGAAAUUAAAUUAGAUUUUCUUUACUUUCAUUAUCUAAGUACUUUCUGAUAAUGAAUGUAUUCUAAAAUAUGACAUUCAGCCAAUGGUAUUUACUGUAUUAAAAACAGACUGAUUUUAUUUACUGCAUAGUGCUUAAUAGCUCCUCCAAGCCACUUUAUGCCAUAAUUUUAAAUGGGUUCUUUGGGCUUUUUUUUUUUCAAAACAAGAAACAUGGCUUUUUGACAGGACAGCCCCUGGUAACUCACAGUGCAAUACUGCCAGGAGACGUGAUGGGUUGUGUCAGGUGUUUGUUUCUUCCAGAAGGAUGGAGGCAUUACGAUAUCAAUGCUGAGUUCCUUUUGUCACCUGGGUAAAUAGCACGACAUAAUAUUUGAAAAGCAUCAGCACAUUGCUGGUGAGUGCCACCAAAGGGUUACACUUCAUGAUGCAGCAGUACCACUAUGAUAUGAUCUGUGUGAACCAACAAGAAUUAUAUAAUGAGAACAUGUUAAAAAAAAAAAAAAAAAGUAUUUUUAACAAGAAAAUUAUACUGACAUGUAUCGGUGCUGAUUUUAAAGCAACUUUCUAUCCAUAUUUAGAAAAUUUAAUCUA
rnacentral:lncRNA from 1 species